rnacentral:rRNA from 1 species
CAGUAGCCGCGGUAAUACGUAGGUGGCAAGCGUUAUCCGGAAUUAUUGGGCGUAAAGGGCUCGCAGGCGGUUUCUUAAGUCUGAUGUGAAAGCCCCCGGCUCAACCGGGGAGGGUCAUUGGAAACUGGGAAACUUGAGUGCAGAAGAGGAGAGUGGAAUUCCACGUGUAGCGGCGAAAUGCGUAGGGAUGAGGAGGAACACCAGUGGCGAAGGCAACUCUCUGGUCUGUAACUGACGCUGAGGAGCGAAAGCGUGGGGAGCGAACAGGAUUAGAUACCCCGGUAGUCCCUGUCUCUUAUAC